GACGAAGGUGGCGAGCGUUGUUCGGAUUCACUGGGCGUAAAGGGUGCGUAGGCGGUCGGGUAAGUCUGAUGUGAAAUCUCACAGCUUAACUGUGAAACUGCAUUGGAUACUAUCCGGCUAGAGGAAUGGAGGGGAGACUGGAAUACUUGGUGUAGCAGUGAAAUGCGUAGAUAUCAAGUGGAACACCAGUGGCGAAGGCGAGUCUCUGGACAUUUCCUGACGCUGAGGCACGAAAGCCAGGGGAGCAAACGGG
rnacentral:rRNA from 1 species